AAACCAUGGUGAGGGCAUUGCAUUGUGUAACCUUCGAAGCGCUCCCAUGCCUCUCAGAAACUUUCAAGUCCCCUCUGUGUGAACCCAACAAUUUCAUUUCGGAGCCG
rfam:Brassica napus, WGS project CCCW01000000 data, contig: 16055